GGACUACUGGGGUAUCUAAUCCUGUUUGCUACCCACGCUUUCGUGCCUCAGUGUCAGUCGUGGUCCAGUAAGCCGUCUACACCACCGGUGUUCCUCCUGAUAUCUACGCAUUUCACCGCUACACCAGGAAUUCCGCUUACCUCUCCCACACUCAAGCACCCCAGUUUCCACCGCACCCUCCCAGUUAAGCCGGGAGAUUUCACAACAGACUUAGGGCACCACCUACGCACUCUUUACGCCCAGUAACUCCGAACAACGCUUGCUGCCUACGUAUUACCGCGGCUGCUGGCAC
rnacentral:rRNA from 1 species